GUGAUCAUGUCCAUUCUACUUGGCAAGUGUUUUAUCCAUGUGCCUUCUUUUCCUAAAAUAACACCUAACAUGGAAAAGAAAGCAGAAACCUGGGGGGCCAGACCCUCCCACGGUCUUCUUGAGAUGAGAUUACUUUGCUUGCUAACACCAUAACUUACCUCCAUUCCAAUGGCGACACCAUCUAAUCAACUCACUAUUCCCAUUUGUAAUUAUGGUGAGAUGGCCUCAUUAAGGACAUCUCGGACUGAUGCAAAUCCAGGGACAAGAUUAUUUAUCAAGCCCAUGGAUUAUGGGGUAGCGUUAUUUUAGUUCUCCUUUUUUUUUUUUCCUUUUGAAGAAAAUCUUGUUAAGACUUGGGUUGUUUAUCUUAAUGCAGACACUCAGAAUGUGGGGGGACUUCAUGUGCUCUGAUCUUCCUCUUCAAGAACGUGCAAGAUCUGUGAUUGUUGAUGUGCUACAAAGAUUUGGAAAAAUAGAUGCACAAAUCUAUACUAUAGAUAGAGUUAAAGAAAGAGGUUUAAUUUUAUUGCUAUUGAUGUAUUCAUUAGUUGGAUUAGGUAUGAUUUUAUGGGUUUUGAACCAUAAUCUAUAUAAUAUAUAAAUGUGUGAUAGGGAGAACAUUGGCUUUAACUAAAUUGCCCUUCAUUAUUUAUAGUAUUUGUAAUUGUAUUUUUUAAUAUUUACUUUAAUUUUAGAGUUUAUAUAAAUUUAAAAUUUUUAUUACUCUUUUUCGGUGCU
rnacentral:misc_RNA from 1 species